GUGCUUGCUUUAUAGAUACAUUUAAUAACAAUGGAUCCAUACAGAAAUGAUUAGCAUCAUUCCCCUAUACAAGGAUGACAUACAAAUUCAUGAAGUUUUCUACAUUAAA
ensembl:snRNA U6 U6 spliceosomal RNA